CCUACGGGAGGCAGCAGUGAGGAAUAUUGGUCAAUGGACGAGAGUCUGAACCAGCCAAGUAGCGUGAAGGAUGACUGCCCUAUGGGUUGUAAACUUCUUUUAUAUGGGAAUAAAAUGUUCCACGGGGGGGAUUUUGUAUGUACAAUAUGAAUAAGGAUAGGCUAACUCCGUGCCAACAGCCGCGGUAAUAAGGAGGAUCCGAGCGUUAUCCGGAUUUAUUGGGUUUAAAGGGAGCGUAGGUGGAUUGUUAAGUAAGUGGUGAAAGUUUGCGGCUCAACCGUAAAAUUGCAGUUGAAACUGGCAGUCUUGAGUACAGUAGAGGUAAAGGGAAUUCCUGGUGUAGCGGUGAAAUGCUUAGAUAUCAGGAGGAACAUCGGUGGCGUAAGCGCUUUACUGGGCCGUAAUUGACGCUGAGGAACGAAAGCCAGGGUAGCAAAUGGGAUUAGAUACCCGAGUAGUC
rnacentral:rRNA from 1 species